AGCGAACGCUAGCGGCGUGCCUAACACAUGCAAGUCGAACGCUCCGCAAGGAGCGUGGCGAACGGGUGCCUAACGCGUAGGUAAUCUGCCCAUAAAACUGGAAUAACCUGUCGAAAGACGGGCUAAUACCGGAUAAGACCACGGCAUAAUUUGCUGAGGUAAAAGGUGGCCUCUACUUGUAAGCUAUCAUUUAUGGAUGAGCCUGCGUACCAUUAGCUAGUUGGUAGGGUAAUGGCCUACCAAGGCUACGAUGGUUAGCUGAUCUGAGAGGAUGAUCAGCCACACUGGGACUGAAACACGGCCCAGACUUCUACGGAAGGCAGCAGUGGGGAAUUUUGCGCAAUGGGGGAAACCCUGACGCAGCAACGCCGCGUGAGUGAUGAAGGCCUUCGGGUUGUAAAGCUCUGUCGAGAGGGAAGAAAGAUAAGGGUGCUAAUAUCAUCUUUAUUUGACGGUACCUCUAAAGGAAGCACCGGCUAAUCUCGUGCCAGCAGCCGCGGUAAUACGAGAGGUGCAAGCGUUGCUCGGAAUUACUGGGCGUAAAGCGGGUGUAGGUGGCCUGUUAUGUCAGGUGUGAAAGCCCUGGGUUCAACCCAGGAAGUGCGCUUGAAACUGGCAGGCUCGAGUACUGGAGAGGAGGGCGGAAUUCCUAGUGUAGAGGUGAAAUUCGUAGAUAUUAGGAGGAACACCGGCGGCGAAAGCGGCUCUCUAAACAGAUACUGACACUAAGAUCCGAAAGCGUGGGGAUCAAACAGGAUUAGAUACCCUGGUAGUCCACGCCGUAAACGAUGGGUACUAGAUGUUGGGUUUUCCCAGUGUCGAAGCUAACGCAUUAAGUACCCCGCCUGGGGAGUACGGUUGCAAGAUUAAAACUCAAAGGAAUUGACGGGGGCCCGCACAAGCGGUGGAGCAUGUGGUUUAAUUCGACGCAACGCGAAAAACCUUACCUGGACUUGACAUCUGGAAAAUCCUCUAGAAAUAGAGGAGUGCUAGCUUGCUAGAAUUCCAAGACAAGUGCUGCAUGGCUGUCGUCAGCUCGUGUCGUGAGAUGUUGGGUUAAGUCCCGCAACGAGCGCAACCCACGCCAAUAGUUGCCAUCAUUUAGUUGGGCACUCUAUUGGGACUGCCUAGGUUAACUGGGAGGAAGGUGUGGAUGACGUCAAGUCCUCAUGGCCUUUAUGUCCAGGGCUACACACGUGCUACAAUGGACAAUACAAUGGGUUACCAACCCGCGAGGGGGAGCUAAUCCCGUAAAAUUGUCCUAAGUUCGGAUUGGAGUCUGCAACUCGACUCCAUGAAGCUGGAAUCGCUAGUAAUCGUGGAUCAGAACGCCACGGUGAAUACGUUCCCGGGCCUUGUACACACCGCCCGUCACACCACGAAAGUCGUUUCUACCAGAAGCCGGUAAGCUAACCGCAAGGAGGCAGCCGUCCAAGGUAGGGAUGGUGAUUGGGGUG
rnacentral:rRNA from 1 species